UACGAAGGGUGCAAGCGUUACUCGGAAUUACUGGGCGUAAAGGGCGCGUAGGCGGCCUGCUAAGUCGAACGUGAAAUCCCCGGGCUCAACCCGGGAACUGCGUCCGAUACUGGCAGGCUUGAAUUCGGGAGAGGGAUGUGGAAUUCCAGGUGUAGCGGUGAAAUGCGUAGAUAUCAGGAGGAACACCGGUGGCGAAGGCGGCUCUCUGGACGGUGACUGGACGGCUGAGACGCGAAAGCGUGGGGAGCAAACAGG
rnacentral:rRNA from 1 species